CCUCGUCGAUCUGCUGCGGGCUGAUGAAGUGGAUGUGCGAAUCGAUGCCGCCCGCCGUCACGAUCAUGCCUUCGCCCGCGAUGACUUCGGUGGCGGCGCCGAUCGCGAUCGUCACGCCCGGCUGGAUGUCGGGAUUGCCCGCCUUGCCGAUCGCCUGGAUGCGGCCGCCCUUGAUGCCGAUGUCGGCCUUUACGAUGCCCCAGUGAUCGAGGAUCAGCGCGUUCGUCACGACGGUGUCGGCGACGUCGUUGGCGACGCGCUGCGACUGGCCCAUGCCGUCGCGGA
rfam:Burkholderia glathei strain DSM 50014 contig25, whole genome shotgun sequence.